rnacentral:rRNA from 1 species
GAUGAACGCUGGCGGCGUGCCUAAUACAUGCAAGUCGAGCGAACAGACGAGUAGCUUGCUCCUCUGACGUUAGCGGCGGACGGGUUAGUAACACGUGGAUAACCUACCUAUAAGACUGGGAUAACUUCGGGAAACCGGAGCUAAUACCGGAUAAUAUAUUGAACCGCAUGGUUCAAUAGUGAAAGACGGUUUUGCUGUCACUUAUAGAUUGAUCCGCGCCGGAUUAGCUAGUUGGUAAGGUAACGGCUUACCAAGGCGACGAUGCGUAGCCGAACUGAGAGGAUGAUCAGCCACACUGGAACUGAGACACGGUCCAGACUCCUACGGGAGGCAGCAGUAGGGAAUCUUCGGCAAUGGGCGAAAGCCUGACGGAGCAACGCCGCGUGAGUGAUGAAGGUCUUCGGAUCGUAAAACGCUGUUAUUAGGGAAGAACAAAUGUGUAAGUAACUAUGCACGUCUUGACGGUACCGAAACAGAAAGCAACGGCUAACUACGUG